GGGGACCCCGGGUAGGGGGGGGCACCCGCCUGAGUUUAACCUUUUCAUUAACCGGAGAAAG
rnacentral:rRNA from 1 species